rnacentral:lncRNA from 1 species
CUCUUGCCCUGCCCCUAACUGGAGUCUGUGCCAAGCCCUCUUCUCCGUCACUGUGUUCACACUUGGCACUUGGCUGGCCCUGAGAAACGUAAUGACAGCCGCAAAUCUAAUCCGCAUACUUUCCAUCGACUCCGUAAUCUGAUCGAUGUUCCCUCUUGCACUGAAUAAUACAUGCCUCUCUCAGGUAAGCCAUUUUAUAAAAUAAGAGAUAAAAUGCACUGUCGAGACAGUGUUUGCUUCUGCCGAUGGUGUCCGACAGCACCCUGGGCAUUAGGGUGGUAGAGCUGCCACAGAGGCUCCCAGGCCCUAGAGGCUGAGAGCUCACUUGAAUCGUAAGCCUUCUUGCUUUUGAUAACACAGUAUUAUUUCUCUUACUGUAGAAGAAAAAGUUUAUUACCAAACAAGAGUAUUUUUAUGAAAGGAUAGGACAAACCUAUAAAUUAUCUCAACGUAUAUCUAUCUCCCUUGAAAAAAAAUACUUUCAGACUCCACCAAAAUGUAGGACUGAAAGAGUGUAUUUUGGAAGAAAGAGAUACAUUUUUGUAUGCUUUUUUUUCCUUUUGUAGAACUCCCGACUUAGUUUCUAAGACUGCAAAGAUCACUUCGUCACCAGCCCUGGGACCUGAGACCAAGGGGUUGUCUUGUGGGCAAUGAGGGGGGAAGGACAGGCCGGCCUGAGGUUCACAGUCAUUCCAAUGGGUUCUGAUGAGGGGCCGCUGGAUCUUGAAGGUGUGUUGGGGACCAGGAGGUUAAAAAGAUAGGCCCUCCCUCGAUGGUGGGUUCUUUGUGUUGGAGCUGAAUGGUUACAUGGAAGGAGUUGAGAAUUUGGAUACCAGUUCUGAGCUUGGUAGAAGAAACUAGGGUCACUCUGGCUAACAUAAGGGUACAGCAUCCUUAGUAACCCGAGCGUGGCUCGAAGCGUUCAUGAUUUCAUCCAAAACACAACAUGUAAACUUACUCAGCUAACAAUGGGGAAAUGUAUUGCUUCUGUGCGCAGUGGACUUAUGUGCAAUUUGUUCAAAAGGGAACAAGUCAUUGAGGAGAAACAAGCCCAAUACUUAGAGUCCCAAUUUUGUCUUAUUUGCCAAAAAAAAAAAAAAAAAGCAACCCCCGCCCCCUAGAGUUGAUAUUGUUACAAUGUACAUAUUGUAAAAUACGGAAGAAUCGAUGUAUCUUACUUUUUCAUUAUUUGCUAACCAAAGCUGUACAUUUUUCAUACAAAUCUGCAGCCUUUUGAGUAUCAAAGGGGUAAACCCACACCCAUCAGCCAUUCUGGAAGUGCACUAUUUAUACUGGUACCCUCGCUUUUUUUUUUCCCAUUUUCUUGCUGAGAUGACAUGAAUUGUUAAGUUUAUUUUUACACAGUAAAGAGUGAAGAAAGACUG